rnacentral:rRNA from 1 species
AUACGAAGGGUGCGAGCGUUAAUCGGAAUUACUGGGCGUAAAGCGCGCGUAGGUGGUUAAGUAAGCGAUCUGUGAAAGCCCCGGGCUUAACCUGGGAACUGCAGGUCGAACUGCUUGGCUAGAGUAUGGUAGAGGGGUGUGGAAUUUCCUGUGUAGCGGUGAAAUGCGUAGAUAUAGGAAGGAACAUCAGUGGCGAAGGCGACACCCUGGACCGAUACUGACACUGAGGCGCGAAAGCGUGGGUAGC